rnacentral:rRNA from 1 species
UGGGGAAUAUUGGACAAUGGACCAAGAGUCUGAUCCAGCAAUUCUGUGUGCACGAUGAAGUUUUUCGGAAUGUAAAGUGCUUUCAGUUGGGAAGAAAAAAAUGACGGUACCAACAGAAGAAGUGACGGCUAAAUACGUGCCAGCAGCCGCGGUAAUACGUAUGUCACAAGCGUUAUCCGGAUUUAUUGGGCGUAAAGCGCGUCUAGGUGGUUAUGUAAGUCUGAUGUGAAAAUGCAGGGCUCAACUCUGUAUUGCGUUGGAAACUGUGUAACUAGAGUACUGGAGAGGUAAGCGGAACUACAAGUGUAGAGGUGAAAUUCGUAGAUAUUUGUAGGAAUGCCGAUGGGGAAGCCAGCUUACUGGACAGAUACUGACGCUGAAGCGCGAAAGCGUGGGUAGCAGACAGGAUUAGAUACCCUGGUAGUCCACGCCGUAACGAUGAUUACUAGGUGUUGGGGGUCGAACCUCAGCGCCCAAGCAAACGCGAUAAGUAAUCCGCCUGGGGAGUACGUACGCAAGUAUG